rnacentral:rRNA from 1 species
UACGGGAGGCAGCAGUGGGGAAUAUUGCACAAUGGGCGCAAGCCUGAUGCAGCCAUGCCGCGUGUAUGAAGAAGGCCUUCGGGUUGUAAAGUACUUUCAGUCGUGAGGAAGGUGUUAAGGUUAAUAACCUUAGCAAUUGACGUUAGCGACAGAAGAAGCACCGGCUAACUCCGUGCCAGCAGCCGCGGUAAUACGGAGGGUGCGAGCGUUAAUCGGAAUUACUGGGCGUAAAGGGCACGCAGGCGGUUAAUUAAGUUGGAUGUGAAAUCCCCGGGCUUAACCUGGGAAUGGCAUUCAAGACUGGUUAGCUAGAGUCUUGUAGAGGGGGUAGAAUUCCAUGUGUGGCGGUGAAUGCGUAGAGAUGUGGAGGAAUACCGGUGGCGAAGGCGGCCCCGUGGACCGAAAGACUGACGCUCAUGUGCGAAAGCGUGGGGAGCGAAACAGGGAUUAGAUACC